rnacentral:rRNA from 1 species
GUGAGGAAUAUUGGUCAAUGGACGAGAGUCUGAACCAGCCAAGUCGCGUGAAGGAAGACGGUUCUAUGAAUUGUAAACUUCUUUUGUGCAGGAAUAAAGUGGGUUACGUGUAACCUUUUGUAUGUACUGUACGAAUAAGGAUCGGCUAACUCCGUGCCAGGAGCCGCGGUAAUACGGAGGAUCCGAGCGUUAUCCGGAUUUAUUGGGUUUAAAGGGUGCGUAGGUGGAUUGAUAAGUCAGCGGUGAAAGUUUGCAGCUUAACUGUAAAAUUGCCGUUGAAACUGUCGGUCUUGAGUGCAAAUGAGGUAGGCGGAAUGUGUUGUGUAGCGGUGAAAUGCUUAGAUAUAACACAGAACUCCGAUUGCGAAGGCAGCUUACUGGGAUGCAACUGACACUGAUGCACGAAAGCGUGGGUAUCAAACAGGAUUAGAAACCCUGGUAGUCC